GGCUCGGGUGGGAUGAGCGCGCGCGGCGGGGACCAUGGCGUGGGGAGCGCGCGUGGCGGGGCGCGCCCUCGGUCCCUUCCCGGGAGGUGGGUGGUUGACGGGCCCGCCGGGGAGCCAGGGAGCGCCGGGAAGCGCCGGGAAGCCAAGCUGCAGUGUUCCUCAGCAACAAGUCUCGCUGAGAUCCGACCCAGAGUUCGGCCUCUGACUAGACGCCUGGGAAUCCGUGAGCUUAAUCCCCGCUUAAAUCCCAAACGGAAAAUCAUAGCGCUUUCUUGUCGGUUAAGGGUGUCAUUCCCAUAAGAAGCUGGACCUGGGGACCGCCAGGGAAAGCCUGAGCGUGGCAGCAAAUGGGGAGGCCUGGAGGGAUCGCAGCAGUCUUGGACUCGGGAUCUGAAAUUCUCUCCCUAGGAUUUGUAAACAGUGCCAGUUCCUAAGCUAUUUGUUGUCCUAUGGUCUGUCCAUCUUUAAAUCCCACCAGUAACAAUCCAAUCUCCAGGCUGACCCUCUAAACCUGCUUUAGCUGGGCGUUGAUCCGCAGCACCACCAGAAGGCAGUGACGAAGAGGGAAAAAUAAAGUGAACUAGGACCUCCUGUAGAAUAACUCCUCCUGUGGAAUAACUCCUCCUGUGGAAUAAGACUCCAGGUUCUUCGGGGACUCUUGGACUUACACCAGCGUUUUGCCGGGGGCUCUGUCGGCUGCACUGUCAGUUUCCCUACUUUUGAGACUUUUGGACUCGGACUGAGCCACUACUGGCUUCCUUCUUUCUCAGCUUGGAGACAGCCUAUCAUGGACUUCGCAUUGUGAUCGUAUGGUGCUGUAAUGGAAAUCCUUUAUUUGUGACUCUUGUGGCCUUGUGUGAGAGUUUUUUCCUAAGAUGGACUACAGAGAACCAGAGAGAGUUUUAAAUGUCUUAUUACCAGAACUUAAAGACCUUUAAGCAGAUGAUCACUAACAGAAGGAUCAAAAAGGAGAAAGUAUAAGGAUCAAAAGGGAGAAAAUAUAAAGCUUAUUCUGUUGCCUCUUUAAAUUUAUGGAAACAAUCAACAUACCUGAUAUUAUAUUCUCUCAGGCCCCAGCAGUUCUUCCACAGGAUUGAGUAAGGAAGAUAGAGAAAAAGGUCAGCAUGUAAAAAAAUGAUGGUACUUGACAGUCCAGCUGCCACAAUGCUUUCAAAAAACUGGAUUUCUACUGGAUUCUUCAAGAUUACAAAGUUACAGCCUUAACAAACAGGUUGUGGACAAGGAAGACAAAGAGUGCAUGAACUGCCUGGUGAUGAAAGCCAUGGUGCAGUGGCGGCGGCGACUGCAACAAGACCCAGGCAGGAAAGGCGCGUGUGGUGUUGGGACCAGCAGACGGGCAGCCUCUGAGGCCAUUUUCUAUUUUUGAAUAAAAUGAUACUACUAAUUUUAUCUGCAAAUAAGUUUUGUUCAAAUGACAAUGUAUGCUCAACAUUAAUAUUUUUCUAAUUUUUUAAAUUGAUGAUUGUUGAUAAUUGAUAAUGACAGGCAUUGAACUUCCUGUUUUGCUGAUUUUUAACUUUUACAAAAAUUUUAAUUAAAUAGUAUCAGUCUGGUAUUUUGGUAUUAGAUUUUAAAAAACAAAAUUUCAGUACCAUAAUUGUGCUGUGGUAUCAUAACUAUUACAUUUAUGGAACAUGCUAACUACUCAUCUUCUAAAUCUUUCAAGAUUUACAUCUCAAG
rnacentral:lncRNA from 1 species